UUCAUACAAAGCUACUUCAGUUAUUCAUCUGUUUACUAACAUUUCAUCCAUUCUUAGCUUAAUUUUGUUCAAUCAAAUUUUUUAAGAUGACCAAGAGAAACGUUGCUGCUAAUUCUUCUUUUGAGACUACUAGCUUGGCUUCUCUGCACCAAAAGUUGGCCAUGGCCAAGCGAUGCUCUCGUGAUAAUGCAUACCUUUCUCAAGUAGGGUGUGAUGGCAGGAGCUAAGACAGCAGUUGCUGCUAGUAUUGCCACUGCCAUUCCAACUGCAACUGGCUAGUGUAAGGAUGCUACCUUGGGCAAGAGCCAAUCUCAAUCACACUGCUCAGGCUCUCAUAAUUUCCACAGUGACGGGAGCAGCAUAUUUCAUAGAAGCUGACAAGACUGUCUUGGCAACUGCAAGAAAGAACUCCUUCAACCAACCCUCCAAUGCAUGAAUUCCAAAUGGAUAAUUUAGAUUUUGGAUUCGGCUUCACUACGUUGGGCUAUCUUAGCAUUAACCAAUCAUUGAACUUAUCAUAUAUGUAAAUGUAAUUAUGUAUCGAUAAUAAAUUAAGAAGAGUUUGCAUUUCAAUAGUCAGAUAGAACAUAUAUAUGUACCAACUAUCAGUUAAUUAUAUGAAUGCAAAUCAUUCAUCUUAAUUUCUUCU